rnacentral:rRNA from 1 species
UAACACAUGCAAGUCGAGGGGCAGCAUGGCCUAUCUUUCGGGAUAGGCUGAUGGCGACCGGCGCACGGGUGAGUAACGCGUAUCCAACCUUCCCUUUACUGGGGUUCAGCCCGUCGAAAGGCGGAUUAAUCCCCCAUGUUCUCCGUCCCGGACAUCUGUGUCGGAGCAAAGAUUUAUCGGUAAAGGAUGGGGAUGCGUCCGAUUAGCUUGUUGGCGGGGUAACGGCCCACCAAGGCAUCGAUCGGUAGGGGUUCUGAGAGGAAGGUCCCCCACACUGGAACUGAGACACGGUCCAAACUCCUACGGGAGGCAGCAGUGAGGAAUAUUGGUCAAUGGCCGCAAGGCUGAACCAGCCAAGUAGCGUGAGGGAAGACUGCCCUAUGGGUUGUAAACCUCUUUUAUGCGGGGAUAAAGGCGUCCACGUGUGGAUGUUUGCAGGUACCGCAUGAAUAAGGACCGGCUAAUUCCGUGCCAGCAGCCGCGGUAAUACGGAAGGUCCGGGCGUUAUCCGGAUUUAUUGGGUUUAAAGGGAGCGUAGGCCGGUCUUUAAGCGUGCCGUGAAAUUUUGUGGCUCAACCAUGAGAGUGCGGCGCGAACUGGAGACCUUGAGUGCGCGGAAGGCAGGCGGAAUUCGUGGUGUAGCGGUGAAAUGCUUAGAUAUCAGGAAGAACCCCGAUUGCGAAGGCAGCCUGCCGCAGCGUUACUGACGCUGAAGCUCGAAAGCGCGGGUUCUUAAGGGAUUNNNUCCCCUNNUNNUCCGCNNCNNUAAAGCCUCUUAGGGAGCUGUCGGCGAUAUACAGUUCGGCGGCCAAGCGAAAGCGUUAAGCAUCCCACCUGGGGAGUACGCCGGCAACGGUGAAACUCAAAGGAAUUGACGGGGGCCCGCACAAGCGGAGGAACAUGUGGUAUAAUUCGAUGAUACGCGAGGAACCUUACCCGGGCUUGAAUUGCAGAGGAAAGAUCCAGAGAUGGUGAUGCCCUUCGGGGUCUCUGUGAAGGUGCUGCAUGGUUGUCGUCAGCUCGUGCCGUGAGGUGUCGGCUUAAGUGCCAUAACGAGCGCAACCCCUUUCCCUAGUUGCCAUCGGUUUUGGCCGGGCACUCUGGGGACACUGCCUCCGCAAGGAGUGAGGAAGGUGGGGAUGAUGUCAAAUCAGCACGGCCCUUACGUCCGGGGCUACACACGUGUUACAAUGGGUGAUACAGAGGGCCGGCCGCUGGCAACAUCGGUCCAAUCCUUAAAGUCAUCCUCAGUUCGGACUGGGGUCUGCAACCCGACCCCACGAAGCUGGAUUCGCUAGUAAU